rnacentral:rRNA from 1 species
GUGGGGAAUCUUGCGCAAUGGGCGAAAGCCUGACGCAGCAACGCCGCGUGGGGGAUGAAGGCUCUCGGGUUGUAAACCCCUUUCAGCAGGGACGAAUCAAGACGGUACCUGCAGAAGAAGCCCCGGCUAACUACGUGCCAGCAGCCGCGGUAACACGUAGGGGGCAAGCGUUGUCCGGAUUUAUUGGGCGUAAAGAGCUCGUAGGUGGCUGAGUAAGUCGGAUGUCAAAUCCCCAGGCUCAACCUGGGAUCCCAUCCGAUACUGCUCUGGCUAGAGUCCGGUAGGGGAGCGUGGAAUUCCUGGUGUAGCGGUGAAAUGCGCAGAUAUCAGGAGGAACACCAGCGGCGAAGGCGGCGCUCUGGGCCGGUACUGACACUGAGGAGCGAAAGCGUGGGUAGCAAACAGGAUUAGAAACCCGAGUAGUCC